GGAUUUUCCCCAUUGUUUUUGUUGUUGUUGACUUGGCCAGGUCAUCCCUAAAAUUAUACAUGUGAAGAAAGAAUGAACUAUAUGUGUAUCUCCAUCAUCUAGAGAAACAAGAAAGAAAACAAUGAAAAAAUCUCAGUUUGACAUUGUUACCGUAAGGAGAAAUUUGUUUUUGUUUUGUUCUGAAUCUUUUUCAUUCUUCGAAACAUAGCGUAUCUCCGAUCUGCACAAAAUUAUUAAAUUAGAAGAAACUUUGUUUAAAAAACAACCUCAGUGAAAACAAAAUCGCAGUCACAUUCUCAUCUUAAAUUGAAACAAAAGAAGACUGGAGGAAGCGGACAAGACAACCUAUAUAUACCUUUUAACCAAUCAGUUUGAUGUUCUAACUAUAAGAACACGCCGUUGACCGGUUUUGUUCUGAAUCUACUUCGCACUUCUUUGAAAAACUCUGAGUCAUCGUCCUAGUUUGAAGUUGGAACACGAACACACACCUGUUUCGUUUCACCCAAAAAAGAAAAAAUAUAAGAAAAGUUCAAAGGAAUUGUAGAGUACCUUGGUAGUUUAUUACCUGUGGAAUCAGAGAGUACCUCUAGUUUAUAUUUUCCUAAUUCAGUUUGGUAGAGCUAGCUAUGUUUUGACACUCUUUUCGCUGCAAUGAGGAAAUAAACGCACAAGAGGAAGGUGAAACCAGAUUUGAAUAUCAGAAUGGUUAUUAAUUAAGAAUGUGAGCUACCUUUUCAGCAUGUUCUGUUGGCUUGAGACAUCUGUGACGUGUUUUGGCCUGAGUACAUAUGGGUUCCUCAGUAGAUUAACCAUAUUUCUAGCAGUUUGCAGCUUCUUAAGGUCCAUUGACUUAUCUCCUUAAGAACCCGCUUUUAAGAAAACAUCACCAUCCUACAAGUUAAUCAAAAAAAGAGAAAAGUUAAAAGGUAUCAGAGAGUACCUCGAUUGUUUCUAACCUGUGGAAAGGAAAAUGGUUGGCAUGAGGCAAUGACAAGUACCGUUUUGUUCACAAGUUUUGUUUUGAAUUAUGGUGCCUUGUCGAGUUCCACUUCAAUAACAACUUGAGAUUGGAAAUGUGAUGGUGAUAAGUUAUAUAACACAGAAAAGAAAAAGAAAAG
rnacentral:lncRNA from 1 species